rnacentral:rRNA from 1 species
CAGUAGCCGCGGGAAUACGUAGGGUGCGAGCGUUAAUCGGAAUUACUGGGCGUAAAGCGUGCGCAGGCGGUUCGCUAAGACAGAUGUGAAAUCCCCGGGCUUAACCUGGGAACUGCAUUUGUGACUGGCGGGCUAGAGUAUGGCAGAGGGGGGUAGAAUUCCACGUGUAGCAGUGAAAUGCGUAGAGAUGUGGAGGAAUACCGAUGGCGAAGGCAGCCCCCUGGGAUAACACUGACGCUCAUGCACGAAAGCGUGGGGAGCAAACAGGAUUAGAUACCCCCGUAGUCCCUGUCUCUUAUAC